CCUUAUUUCAAUGUUGAAACCUACUGUAAUUAUCGAAAAGGAACAUAAGGUGAUACUAGAACCGCAAGUGUGUCACUGGCAGUUGAAAUUUAACAGAUGAUGUUGGAUUUAAACUAUUUUAUAGUGCCUAACAACAUUGAAAUUGUGGGAGGGGGUUUGUCUCAAAUAUUUUGUGGACGAUUGAGGGCACAGAAUGGGUCAUACAGAAGCCC